AAACAACUCUUUAUGUUUUGAUUCUUUGGCAGUUUUGGACCCCUAAGGACAAAAAAAAAAAAAAAAAUUAGACACGUGACACCUCACUUAGGGUGCCACGUCAGCGUUGACCGAGUCAAAAAUGGACUGGGAGUCCAAAACUGCCAAAGAAUCAAAACAUAGGGGGCUGUUU
rnacentral:pre_miRNA from 1 species